rnacentral:rRNA from 1 species
AUUAAUAAAAUAAAGUUUUUAAAUUGAUUAUGGAAAAUAUAUUAUAAAAAGUUUUUAAUAAAAAUUAAUAAGUUUAAGUAAAUUUUUAGAAAAAAUAAAUUUAUUUAUAAUUAAAGUAAUGUGAAUGAAAUUUUAAAAUUUAAAUAAAUAAAGAAAAAUUUUGUACCUUUUGUAUCAGGGUUGAUUAAAUAAUUUUUAAAUAAUUAAAUAUCUCGAAAUUAAAAGAAUUAAAUAUAUAAAAUUUUUUUUGUAAAAUAAAAAUUAUUAAUAUAUAUUUAGAGAUUAAAUGUUAUUCGAUUUUAAUGAUAUCUAGUUUUUUUUGAAUUAAAUUUAAUUUAUAUAUUUUUUAUAAUAAAUUUUAUUAAAAAAUUUUAUUAUUAAAAAAUAUAAGUAAUUUAUGGGAUAAACUAUAAAUUAAUAAUAUAAUAAUUUAAAUUUAAAAUUUAAAUUAAUUAAUUUUAAAAUUUAAAAUGUUUAAUAAGUAUUUAAUAAUUUAUUAAUAAAUUAAUAUAUAUAUAUAUAUAUAUAUAUAUAUAUAUAUAUAUAUUUAUUGAAAUAUUUAUAUAUAAAUUAAAAAAAAAAUAAUUUUAAUAAUUUAAUUAUAUUAAAAUGAUUAAAUUAGUAAUUUAAAUUGUAUAAUUUAUUUUAUAAAUGAUAUAUUUUUAAGUAAUUAGGCAAAAUAAUUAUAUUCACCUGUUUAACAAAAACAUGUCUUUUUGAUUUUAAUAUAAAGUCAGUUCUGCUCAAUGAGGAAUUAAAUAGCUGCAGUAUAUUGACUGUACAAAGGUAGCAUAAUCAUUUGUCUUUUAAUUGAAGGCUGGAAUGAAUGAAUUAAUGAAAUAUAAACUGUCUCAAUAAUAUAAAAUAAAUUUAAAUUUUAAGUUAAAAUGCUUAAUUUAAUUUAAGGGACGAUAAGACCCUAUAGAAUUUUAUAUAUUAAAAAUUUUUUUAAAUUAAUAAUAUAUUUGGUUGGGAGGAUUUUUAAAUUUAAUUAACUUUAAAAUUUUAAAAAUAUUGAUUAAUAGAAUUUAAAUUGAAAUAUAUUUAUUAUAAUAAUUAGAAUAAAUUACCUUAGGGAUAACAGCGUAAUAUUUUUGGAAAGAUCAAAUUGAAAAAAUUGUUUGCGACCUCGAUGUUGAAUUAAAAUGAAUUAUAAAUGUAGGUGUUUAUAAAUUUAGUCUGUUCGACUAUUGAAAUUUUACAUGAUUUGAGUUCAGAUCGACGUGAGUCAGAUUGGUUUCUAUCUUUAAAAAAAUUUAAAAUUUUUGUACGAAAGGACUAAGUUUAAGAAAUUAUUUUUAUUAAAAUUAAUUAAUUAAA